AGAGGACCAUCUGUAGGGGCUUCACUUUCUUCGGUGCCUUCGUCGGUACAACAUGGCUCUCUUUAGACUGGUCGUAGCGGCGGCGGUAUUUCUGACCUUGACGGAGGCCUAUCCACGUUACAUUCUUGUCCCCCUCGAGGACCUGAGCUUCGUCGACAACACCCACACCAGACACGCCCGCUCGCUGCGUCGUCCCUCUUACGCCAACCCCCGCGCGGACCACGCCUUGCAGUACGCUGAGCCCCUUCCGCUGAGCCCUGCGCGCCACAAGAUUCACGAGGAGAGAGAUAACGAGCCGCUCCUGACUGAGGCUUCCGACCCGUACCACAGUCACGUCGGCGGGUACGGGCAGAAUGACCACGUGGACUAUGGGGCAUACACGGGUGGGUACGGCGCCUUCGGGUGGUACUCUGAUCAUCCUGUGUGUAUAAACUGUGGGCACUACCAUUAAGAACCCAUUGAAUCCCCUUAGUUCCUCUUAAACCUGUUCCAACCCUUUAUGCUGAGACUCGAUCCCAUUAUUCCAAGCUCGGAAGAUGCAAAGUUUCUAUCUGAUCCGACCUUCCCCUUCCUCAAUUCCUCCCUCCCCUUGAAGUCAAUCCCCAUAACUUAAACCUCAACCUGGAUCUUCCCCAUAACUUAAACCUCAAUCUCUUCCCUUAAACCAUUUUCUUCGAGGAUUUUGAGGCCCGUUACCUCCCCCUCCCUCUUCCUCAAUUCUUCCCCUCCCUUGUAGUCAAUCCCCUUAACUUAACCCUCAAUCUCUUCCCCAUUAGCCCUUUUUUUCGAGGUUUCUGAGUCACGUUAGCUCCCCCUCCUUCUUCCCCAAUUAAUCCCCUCCCCUUGAAGUCAAUCCCCAUAACUUAAACCUCAACCUGGCUCUUCCCCAUAACUUAAACCUCAACCUGACUCUUCCCCAUAACUUAAACCACAAUCUCUUCCCCUUAAACCCUUUUCUUCGAGGUUUUUGAGUCACAUUACCUCCCCCUCCCUCUUCCCCAAUUAAUCCCCUCCCCUUGAAGUCAAUCCCCUUAACUUAACCCUCAACCUCUUCCCCAUUAGCCCUUUUUUUCGAGGUUUUUGAGUCACGUUAUCUCCCCCUCCCAUUUCCUCAAUUCCUCCCCUCCCCUUGUAGUCAAUCCCCAUAACUUAAACCUCAAUCUCUUCCCCAUAACCCCUUUUUUUCGAGGUUUCUGAGUCCCGUUACCUCCCCCUCCCUCUUCACCGGUUCCCCCUCUUCCUCCCCUCCCUUUUCAGUCACUCCCAAGAUUUAGAUAUCAAGUUCGAGUUUUUUUGAGACAUGUCCCAUUUCCUUCCCCUGAACCAUUCACUCCCCUCCCCUCCAUCCCCUCCUCCUCUAGUUCUUCCCCAUUAUAAAAACCCGUAGCCCAUAUACCCCAUGACUUCAAGAGCUAUAGAGGACGUGCAGACAGACCCACCUAAUCCAGCACGGCUACACCCAUUCAAUAGAUUAUCUUGAGACUCCCUUCCCCUCCCUCCCUCCUUCUUCCCAUCCCGAUAUGGCCUCGCCCGGUCAUGAUGAAAUACCAGAUCUAGUCCGUUGGUAGUGUUUUGUUGUGUUCUUUCGUUCGUGUUACAUAGGAAGUAGCUGUUUCAUCUUUCCGUAUAGUGUGUUUUUUAAGCGUUCAUCACGUUUUUGUUGUUUUCUUGUUCUUGCUGCUGUUGUUGUUGUUGUUGAUUUUGUAACGUGUGUGAGUUUAUGAAUAAAGUGAGUGUGUAUUUAU